rnacentral:rRNA from 1 species
AUGAACGCUGGCGGCGUGCCUAAUACAUGCAAGUCGAACGGAAAAUUCUUGGUACUUGUAUCGGGAAUUUUUAGUGGCGAACGGGUGAGUAACGCGUUGGUGACCUACCCCAAAGUGGGGGAUAACAGAUCGAAAGGUCUGCUAAUACCUCAUGUUGUCAUCGUUUUUAGAAAGCGAUGAUUAAAGGAUUUAUCCGCUUUGGGAGGGGCCUGCGUCCCAUCAGCUAGUUGGUAGGGUAAUGGCCUACCAAGGCGUCGACGGGUAAGGGACCUGAGAGGGUGGCCCCUCACAAUGGAACUGAAACACGGUCCAUACACCUACGGGUGGCAGCAGUAGGGAAUAUUGCACAAUGGGCGAAAGCCUGAUGCAGCAACGCCGCGUGUACGAUGAAGGCCUUCGGGUCGUAAAGUACUUUUCAGGGGGAUGAGAAAGGACAGUACCCCUGGAAUAAGUCUCGGCUAACUACGU